GUGGCGGUAGUUUAGUGGUAGAACGCCAAAAACAUCCUUGUUUAAACUUUGCCUGAAAAGGCCGCAGAAUGAGGGUUAUCGAUUUCCCAUCGGGUAGCGGUAGGUUCGAUUCCUCCCCGUCACG
rnacentral:tRNA from 1 species